UGGACAAGAAAUAUAUUGAAGGAUCUAGGAAUCGAUUGCCGCAAUCCUACAAAGCUAUAUGAAGACAACCAGUCGUGUAUUCACAUCGCCAACGAACCAUGUGACCAGAAAAGAUUGAAGCAUUUGGAUUUACGAUACCACUUUAUCCGUGAGUGUAUUCAAUCUGGUGAAAUAUGAGUGCAGUACAUACCGACGCAGGAGCAGGUUGCAGAUAUGUUCACCAAGAGCCUUCCAGCUAGCUGUUUCAAGAAACAUUGCUUCACGCUUGGUCUGAGAGGGGGUGUUGUGAAACAGACAGCAGCGUAAAUAAUAAUAGUUGAUUGAGUUCGUUUUAGAGUGUAAGCCGAAUGUCAAAUUGUCCUACCUUUUAUAUGCACCAUUCUUGAAACUCUGUUACCCGCCUUUUUAUCAUUCUGAAUAAAGCUAUCGUUGAGUAAACACGUGUGUUAGAGAUCUUUAUUUCGUCAUUUUGUUUUGCCGUCGGCGAAAAAACGGAGCUAGAAUUAAGGGGAUUAAAGAUGUGUUCUGCGAAACUUUUGCUUAAAAGCCAAUCUCGGAACUUCGGUUAUCACAUGCACCGUCCACAAAAGAUACCAUUCAUAAGGAAACGGCUCUGCCACCAUCGUUUGAUCCAGCAGAAAGCGGAAGUCAGCAUCGCUACCGGUAAACAGAAUUACGGUACCGUGUUGCAGCUCCCAUAUGCAUCUUCUUCCAUCGAAUCGACGUACAUUCAUUUGGUACAAAUGUAAAUGUACGACCUACGAAGAUUGGUAGCCGUCGCUCGAGCUCGUCUUCGCUAUCUUCACUGGCCCUGAUGUCCUUUAAACCAUCGAUUUUCCGCUGCAUCUUCUUCUAUUUAUGGCAGUUUACGGCGAAUCCACAUCCAUCUACAGCAGAAAAAAACAGCUGCUGGUGGAACUUCCGUAAUUUCAGCUAAUACCAAUGCGCCGUCAGUAGAAAGAGUUCUUUCUAGAUGUGGUGGACCAGUUUGCUCGCCUGUUCGUAACAUGCAUGAAUAAUGGCGAAAAUUUUAUAUGAUGCAAUUUCAAAAACAUAAAAAUAA